UGGCGCCAAAGCGGAAGGGCGGUAGGUUUUGCUGAGGAGCCCUAUUAUCCGUGGUUCGACAUGGAGCUCUAUGAAGGUGGAGACCAGUGCCAACAAAAGCUUCAUGCUACGGGGCACAAGCACCACUGCAUUCCGGCACAAAAUCCAUAUCGUGCCCAGUAACCUAAAGCCAGGUAACAUCGUCAUCAUGGAGACGCCUGGCACUCCCCAUCCGUAAGGUAGCCGGUUUUGGACCACGCAAGGUCUGUCUGUACUGGCUGGCUCCCGCGAGGCAAAGAGGGCGAUCAAGACAACAAUAAGGUGAAUGUACAUGAAUUCCACCUGUCCUCAGCCUACAGCUCAGACUUCUACAGGGCUCCUGAACUCUGGAACAGGCGCUAGACAGCCAAGGCCGACGUCUUUAUCCUGGGCAUUAACACCUGGGCAAAGAUAGAAUCACUUUUAAUGCCUCUGAAACCAAGAAAGAGCUCUUGAGAACCUGUAUCAAACAAGGGACCCAGAUAGACCUUGUUGGUGAAUUGCCACUUGAAAACCCAAAGAUGGAGUUGCACAUCUUUCACAACAUAGGACUUGAAUGUCUGAGGGAAUCAAAUAGCUUUUGAAAGGCAUGUUAGCCGCUAACCCACAGGACAGGCCGGAUGUCUUUGAACUUGAAACCAGAAUGGACCAGGUCACGUGUGCUGCUCAAAAUUCAGGACAAAGCAUCUGGAAUGUUUUUAAACUAGAUCACUCGUACACAGAAAACCAGCUUCUAUGCCUUGAGAGCACUAAGGCAGGCCUGAGAAGAGAUACAUAUAACAAGGGAUAGAGAAUAUGUCCCUCCACACCUAGCCAGCAGGCAGGGAUGUAUCAUUGUAGAACAGUCGUGCUGAUACAGAUCCCAGGCUGUUCUCCUCCUUUGCUGACAAGGAGACCAAUUCCACCAUUCAGAGAAAGCACAGAUCUUACAGUCAGAUUGAUGUUUGGCUUCCAGCUGUGCUGUCUACUAAAUGAUGGCUGCAUUUUGACAUGUUUAAACAGAACAGAAUUUUGAAAUGUAAACUCACUGUGCCACUUUAUCUUGAUUUAGAAGUAUACUU